rnacentral:lncRNA from 1 species
AUUGAAUGUCUCUGAGCCCCUCUACAUGUGAAACACACCAAGGUCAGAUUUAGACAACUAACCCUGCUGAGUGACUCAUUCUUUUCUUCCAGAUAUGGUGUUUCCCUUAGGUGAGGGGUCUGAAGAAGGGUCAUUCAUUCAUUCAUACAAAAUUUACUGAAUGCCAACUACUAAUCAGACAUGGAGGCCCUGAAAAUACAGCUGCUGUUAUUUACCUGAGUUGUGGGAAAGAGAAAAUAGGUCUCGGGCUGCACAGAGCAGUGAUGCAAUGUCCACAGACAGGGUAGAGACCCUGUGAGUCCAGGAAGCAGAGAAUCCCAGAUUCCAAGGUGCCCAGGGUGUGAUGCAGAAAGGCCAGGUAGGCAUGUCCCUAUGGACUCCUUGCUCUAUGUGUGUAUGUGUGUGUGUGU